UACAGAGGAUGCAAGCGUUAUCCGGAAUUAUUGGGCGUAAAGAGCUCGUAGGCGGUUUGUCGCGUCUGCCGUGAAAGUCCGGGGCUCAACUCCGGAUCUGCGGUGGGUACGGGCAGACUAGAGUGAUGUAGGGGAGACUGGAAUUCCUGGUGUAGCGGUGAAAUGCGCAGAUAUCAGGAGGAACACCGAUGGCGAAGGCAGGUCUCUGGGCAUUAACUGACGCUGAGGAGCGAAAGCGUGGGGAGCGAACAGG
rnacentral:rRNA from 1 species